rnacentral:rRNA from 1 species
GUGGGGAAUUUUGGACAAUGGGGGCAACCCUGAUCCAGCCAUGCCGCGUGUCUGAAGAAGGCCUUCGGGUUGUAAAGGACUUUUGUCCGGGAAGAAAAGCGCGAUGUUAAUACCAUUGCGUGCUGACGGUACCGGAAGAAUAAGCACCGGCUAACUACGUGCCAGCAGCCGCGGUAAUACGUAGGGUGCGAGCGUUAAUCGGAAUUACUGGGCGUAAAGCGGGCGCAGACGGUUACUUAAGCAGGAUGUGAAAUCCCCGGGCUCAACCUGGGAAUUGCGUUUUGAACUGGGUAGCUAGAGUGUGUCAGAGGGGGGUAGAAUUCCACGUGUAGCAGUGAAAUGCGUAGAGAUGUGGAGGAAUACCGAUGGCGAAGGCAGCCCCCUGGGAUAGCACUGACGUUCAUGCCCGAAAGCGUGGGUAGCAAACAGGAUUAGAUACCCUAGUAGUCC